UACGGGGGGGGCAAGCGUUGUUCGGAAUUACUGGGCGUAAAGGGCUCGUAGGUGGCCUACUAAGUCAGACGUGAAAUCCCUCGGCUUAACCCGGGAACUGCGUCUGAUACUGGAUGGCUUGAGUUUGGGAGAGGGACGCGGAAUUCCAGGUGUAGCGGUGAAAUGCGUAGAUAUCUGGAGGAACACCGGUGGCGAAGGCGGCGUCCUGGACCAGCACUGACACUGAGGAGCGAAAGCCAGGGGAGCAAACGGG
rnacentral:rRNA from 1 species